GGACAGGUGUCCGAGCGGCUGAAGGAGCGGCACUGGAAAUGCCGUAUGCGGGGUUUCCUGCAUCGUGGGUUCGAAUCCCACCCUGUCCG
rnacentral:tRNA from 1 species